rnacentral:miRNA from 1 species
CAGAGCGACUUACAAUUUGGA